UAAGGCGUCCAGGAAGGUGCUGAUGGCUCUCGGCGGGGUGAGGGUAGAGAAGGUUUCCAAGGCGCCCUCUGGCCUCGCGGGCUCAGGGCCCACGCAGUUCUCUCUGGUGGCACCGGGGGGCGAUGUGGAGCGUCCCACAGCGCACCUGCGCCCCGGAGGCUCAUGGGCGUUGUAGUUCCCAGGGCGGCGAGCUGUGCUGGCACUUAGCGUGGGAGGGCUAGGCCAGGUCUGGAGGCACGGUCCCGUACUCAUUGAGGCAGAAGAGGUUGUCCCGGCGUGGAUGACUCCGGAGCGUCCUGGCCCCGAACCCCGUGGAGUGCGACCCACUGCGCGGGUUUGGCGACAGAUCUGGCGGCCGUGUGUCGCAGCUGGAGGUAGGACCAGGCCCUGCGGCCUGGCUGAGGAAGACCGUCUUGGGAAUCUUUCGGAGGAACAGUGCCUAAUGCUUAGGUGAAGAAGUAUUUGUUGAAAGAAGAAUUUGUUGAAUAAUUUCAGUUGAGCAUUCAGUUAAGCAUUGUCUUGGGCUUAAGUUUCUCGAUGUCUUCGAUGGAAGGCAAAUUUUGUAUUCACAUUCAUUUAAAAAAUAAAGGAUUAUGAAGCUGGUAGAGUGUAAGCUUGGAAUGCUGGUGGCCAUCUUGCUAUCUAUGAGGGGAAAACCUGCCUGAGGAGGAAGACAGUCCAGAGGAAAGCAGAGCUAAGAGACAGAGAGCAAGUUCAGAUGGACAUCGUUUGAGCCUGUGGCUCCAGCCAUGCCUAACAUCAUUCUACCUCUGAUUUUUAAAUUCUGUAAACCAAUAAACUCCCCCUCUUUUCAUGUUUGAACUACCUUAAACGGGGUGUGGGGGGGUGUUCCUAUUACUUGUAACUGAAAGAAUCCUGAGUAUUACAUCCCCUGUUCAUAAGGAGGAAGAAGUGUUUUCCCUUUCAUAUUAAUACCUUGGCUUAACCUGGGCCCUGGAUCCAUCCUUCCCACCUUCCCCAAACUUCACUCCUUCAAUUACCAUCCUUUCUACUGGCUCCUUUCCCCUAGGACUUCAGACAUAAUCAGGUUUCCCUCAGGAUUGAAACAAACAAGCAAACCUUUCCACCCUCUAAAAUUGCAGCCCUCCGUAUCUCUCUCCUUCCCUUUUUGGCCAAAUUGUAGGGCAGCUCUAAGCAUUCCUCCUCCCACUUGUUCACCUUCCAUUCAUUCCUCAGUCCACUACCAUUGGCUUCUGCUUCCUUUUCACUUCCCUAAAGAUAACUCUCAACAAAGUGACCAAGCAAUCUAAGUCAGUGUAUUCUAUAGGAGACAAUGACAGUGCCCAGUACCAUGGAUCCCUCUUCUGUCAUUUGUGUGUGAAGUGUUUGCCCAAUCCCCCCACACGCCACACACACACACACACACACACACACACACACUGUAUUCCCACACCCCCUGGUCUUUGGUGUGUGGUUUUUCUUCCAAAUAAUUAGACCUUCCGGGUUUUUUUUUUUUUUUUUUGAGUACUGUCCUCAGGCUACUGGAGUCUUUGCUUUGACGAAGUGCCUGAGAAUUGACAUCUCCCAGGGGAAGCCCUAGUCUACAGCUGAGGGAUGUUGGUAUAUGAAAGGCCCAGCUCCCUUGUUUCUGGAUAAAUCUGAGGGACAACUUACAUCCAGGGCUCCCUUGAGGGAGGAAUCAAGCUGAACUCUCUUCCUGAGAUCACAUGUUUGCUUGGUUGCCUCUCCUGCGUCUCCCACUCCUUUACUAGUUUCUCCUGGUAGCACUUUUUAAAUAAAUCACUCGCACAAAAAUUCUCAUCGCAGAGUAUGCUUCUGGAAAAUCUUACCCAAGACAACAUCUCAGCACUUUCUACUUCUCUUUCUUGGCCUGCCUCUUAAAUGUGGCCUUCCCCCCAGAAUUAGAUUUCAGGCUCUCUUCUCUCUACA